UGAGGAAUAUUGGUCAAUGGGUGCAAGCCUGAACCAGCCAUCCCGCGUGAAGGACGACUGCCCUAUGGGUUGUAAACUUCUUUUGUAUAGGGAUAAACCUACCCUCGUGAGGGUAGCUGAAGGUACUAUACGAAUAAGCACCGGCUAACUCCGUGCCAGCAGCCGCGGUAAUACGGAGGGUGCAAGCGUUAUCCGGAUUUAUUGGGUUUAAAGGGUCCGUAGGCGGACUUAUAAGUCAGUGGUGAAAGCCUGUCGCUUAACGAUAGAACUGCCAUUGAUACUGUAAGUCUUGAGUAUAUUUGAGGUAGCUGGAAUAAGUAGUGUAGCGGUGAAAUGCAUAGAUAUUACUUAGAACACCAAUUGCGAAGGCAGGUUACCAAGGUAUAACUGACGCUGAGGGACGAAAGCGUGGGGAGCGAACA
rnacentral:rRNA from 1 species